GCCUGCAUCCUCCACCUGAAAUCCUUACAUGGAGAAGAACAAAUCAUUGUCCCUCCAUUUACUGCUUCAACAGUCGAAGGCUUGAUGGCUGUAAGCUCACACUGAAGUAUUAAAAUGGGUUUCUGAAAUACUUAAAGAGAAGUAGAUAUAUGGUUUUUUUUUAAUUAUUUUUUUGACCUUUGGGAUUCUUGGGUUAAUUUUAACUGUUCUUUAAGAUAAUCGGGUCUAAUUAUAAUGAAAAAUUUGGAAUUGGUGGUCAAUAAAAAUGGCUGAAAAAAAUGAGAGACAACAUGAAGGAGAACAAUCAGUGGUGGGAUGAAAUUAUAAUGCCUGCAAACAAAAAGCCACUGCAUGAAAAUCAUAAAGAAGAUGGUAAAAUCACUAAACUAGAAAACACUAAUGCAAUCAAGGAUGUAUUCAAAAAUUUGAUAUUGGACUAUCGGUUUGAUGGAAAGUGAUGCAGUGAUAGAUUGUGAAGAAUUUGUGACGACGGAGAAAACUAGGGAAUGCUUGAUGAUGCAUUGCAAAUGUCCUUGUGGAAAAGGCUAUCAGAUUCUUUUCCCUAGAAGAAAUUGUUACUGCAAACUUAUGUAGAUCGUGAAAGAAUAUUGGUCCAAAUUAAAUCCUGAUAUCAAGUAUUAAUAUAUUUCUUUAUUUGUACUAAUUGUUUAUUCUUUAGGUUUUCCAUCUUUAUAUAUUGCAAGAUUUUUUGAGUUGUAGUGCUAACCCUUUAUAUAUAGUCAUAAGUUUCUUUUCCUGAGAAGUUUAGCGUAACGGAGAGUAGAUGUUGUAUGAACCUUGUUGGAAUUUAUAAAUAUAUUUGUUAAUCAAAGAAUUUUUCUGCUUCAAGCGUUUUUACAUUUUUGAAUUGAGUUCGUUUCUUUUUUCAUUUUUAAAGCCACACGUAAUAUGUUUUUGUUGUAGUUAGAUUGAAAAUGUGUGAUGACUGUGAUAUUCACACCUUCUUCACUGCAAUGCAAGUCU